UUUAUUAGAUGAUUUCUCAGAAGUAGGAAUACUAGUUCCCAAAAAGAAUCAGGAGGUUCGACAGUGUUGAAGGUACUGAUGGAUACAGGCACACUGACAGCCAUGAAAGUGAGAACUGAGUGUUACAGAAACUCUGAAAAUACACAGAGUGAAAAUUCAGUAUUAUUGCCAAGACUGCACAACAAGAAAUCAUAAAGAAGUCCUUAAGACAGAAGGGAAAUGACACCAGAUGGAAAUACAGAUUUACACAAAGGAAGGAUGAGCACUGGAAAAGAAUGUAUUUUCCAGGAGAGAUGGCCUAUAUCUUUUUGUUAACUCCAGCUCCUGCCAAGUGUUUGACACAUAAAAGAUGUUCAGUGAAUGUUGGAUUGGUUCCUGGAAGUGGAACUACUGUAUCAAAGAUACAUUUGGAAGACUCCAGAAAGGUAGGUAAUACAGUAAUAGAUGAGUUUGCAAAUUUCAUUGCAUUCUUAGCAACACUAGCUAUUAGCAUUUAUUUUCAGUAUCUGUCAGUCUUUGGGGAGACUUUCUAUAAUUUAGUGCGACAAACUUGCAGUUUUGCUCAUACACUCAUAUUAAUAACUUUACUAUUUCAAGGACUUAAAGUUCUUUGUCUUCUCCAUGAUGCUUAACAGAGCCUUGCCCAGACAUUGAAGAAAUGCAUAUUUUAAUUGGCUUUGGCAACAUUUCUUUUAAAAUAAAUUAUAUUUUGAACACAUGGAAAGGUGAAGAAAAGUAACAUUAAAAAAGAUCCAAAUUAUUUUACUUAAUAAAAUAGAAGAUUGUACUCAAUUCUUAAUGUAGUAGUAGAGCAUUAUGGCUAUCAGCCAGCAAUGUUAUAUUUAUUGAAUUUAUUUACUGAAAUCAUACUGAUUUUAUUGAUUAUUGUGUCAUUAUCACUAUAGCACUUUCCAAAAUGUUUCAAAAUGCUUGGUUUAUAAGGUUAAGAAAAACGUUCACUAGAUAACUACUUUGAAAUAAUUUCUUCAGCGCUGCCUUCAUUCAAGAGGACUAGAAGCAUACUGGCCUGUUUCCAACUUUCUUUCAUGUUAUCUUUGCUAUGAAGUCAUUCUAUAGAUAGGGUAAUAAGCAUUUUGGCAUACAGAAAAAUAGCAUCUGUAAAACUAUAUGGCACAGUUUGGCUGGAGUUGUUCCUCCUUGAGAACUGCAUUACGUAAUUUAAAAGUGUUUUCUUAAGCUCCUUUGGGCUGCCUCCAUGGUAGCUAUGAAGUCACUGAGAACUAGGAACAGUUUGGGGCUUGAUAACAAAGUCUAUUAGUUUAAAGUGAACACUGUCAGUAUUUUAAAAAAUCAUUGCUUGAUAAGAAAUUUUAAAAACAAAGAUAUACUUAAUUCAUUUUAUUUUUUAAGGAAGCUUGCUACCUCAAAAAAUCAUCGAGAAAUACACACACAAAAAGGGUUCAUAAAUGUACAUUUGUUCAUUACUUAGAUGCUCUUAUUUUAAAACCUGUACUCUAUAGCAUGAAUUCACAGUGUGAUUUCAACUCAAUGUAACUAUAAAUAAUUAUGCAAAAUUACCAACAUGUAUAAAGCACAGCCUUUAGGAGAGUAUGAAUUAUUAAAAUGACUUCAGCACUAUUUCUGUCUCUAAAUCAUAAAGGAAGUUUUCUAAGGGAACAUCAAAGAUGUAUAAAUUAUAAUAAUAUCAGCUCUGGGAGAAUUUUAAAAGAUACUGGGUUAAAAGAAAAGAUUAAUCUCGACUACACAAAAAAAGGUAGUAUUUUCACUUCCCUAGAGAGAGAACUCUUGAGCCCCUUUACCAACCAAAUAACAAUGUGUACUAGUUUUAAAGAAAAAUAAUGCAUUGUGCAUUGUAAAAGUGGGAGAAGAGUCAUUCAGAAUUUGUAUGGUAAUCAAGUGUUAUAUCACCUCAAAGAAACAUGCAAAUUCUUAUAAAUUACCUAAAGUCUCAGCCGUCACUUUAGAAUUACUGAGUUUUAUGAAUAAACAAGCCCAAGUAAAGUCGAGACAAGAUCCUGACAUCUGAAAAGAUAUAGACCUUUUUUAGAAAUACCAUUUUAAUUAUGUAACAUGGAUUUAUUAUGAAAUUACUUAUUGGAACAAUAAUCUCCUUAGCAUUUUGCUUUUUAACUUUGAGAAGUCAUUUUGUGGCAUUGCCAAUGAUCUAGUGAGGUCCAAAAUCAGUGACAAUUCAAGGAGGGAAUGAAAAAAACUUUUAGGACCUGAUCAUCUGCUUGAAGGUACAGCCACUGUAGGUUUCCCAUCUAGCUUGGGAGAGAGAGGUGUCUGUGUAUGAGUGGCCUGACCUGGAGGGGAGGGAAUGGUCCUGAGGGAGAAGAAGGGAAGAUUAUGAGACCGCCCACCUAGACUGGCUCAUGAUUAGCUUUGCUGGAACAGUAAAAUGUGUGGGGUUUUAUAUUCCAUUCUAAUAUCAAAAAGAAGAUUUUUUUAGGUUUAAGUAUUUUUUCAUGUACAACAUACUGUUUAUAAUCUAUUUAUCUUAAGUUAACAUGUGUGGUGAUUUUAAACACAUUGCAAAUUCUGUGACACUCUUUCCAUUAAAAGACAGAAUCUAACUCCUCUGUCUAGAAUCUGUAUGGCACUAGUGAUAUGCCUCUAAAGAACAGAAUGUGAUGGAUAGGCUGUUCCAGACUUCUAAGAUUAGGUCCUACGUGAUAACAGCUUUACCUGGCUCUCAGGCUUGGGAGUCUUGGGACCCUUGGAACCCAGAGCUCUGUUGUAAGGAAGCCCAGGCUACAAGGAGAGGCAUGUGUUCUGGCUGAAAGCCCCAGCUAAAGUCCCAGCCACCCAUCAGUACAGAUUGUUAGGUAAGUGAACAGGUCUUCAGAUGAUGCAAGCCUCCAGCCAAUGAGCAGCCCUAGUUGACUCCCAGGGGACUAGAAACAAGCUGUCCCUGCAGAGCCCUACCCAGUGCGCAUUUUCAUGAACCAGUAACACUGUUAUUAUUUUAAACCACUAAGUUCUUCGGGUGGUUUGUUAUGUACAUCAGUCCUGGCUUCAAUUAAAUUUCUAGCUCUGGUUAGCUGUUAACUAGGAACCCUUUCCCUCCACUACUCCUUGUUUCCCUAGCUAGACUGAAAUCUUAGCACCUCCUAGUACUAAUUGUGGAUGAUUAAGUGCAGUUUUGAAGUGCCAUCGGGAACAAAAAACACCAUCAUGUGGACCCUUUCUAGCCAAAGUUCUUUUUCUCGAAGGCUUAGUGACUGAGCAGGGGGAAAAGAAAGCCUGAUUCUCUCCAUCUCUCCUUUUCUUCUUCCUUAGGCAUCCCUAGUUUUUAGAAAAGAGAGAAGAAAGCAAGAUUUAAUCCUCUCCUGCCCUCAUCCCCCUUCUGAAUUACAGUCUUUGGAAAGGUGCUUUCUUUUUCACUGAAAGAUUACAUAGUCUCAUAAAGAGACCAAACCAGCCACAGGUUUUCAUUUCUUUUCGAGGAAGCAAACAGAGUUAGUUCCUCCUCCUGAACUAGAGACUCACUUCUCCUCCCAGUCUACACCCCAGACCAGAAUAGGGGUGGAUCCCUCGCCUUGGUCCCUCCCCCGCCCCCCCACAGCCGGUCACUUUCCCAUUCCACUGACUCUUUUAAAUUACCUUUCUUGAAUCCAUUUUCUUCUAUCCCCACUGCUACUAGGUACACAGAAGUGGUCCUAAUCAAUUCUUAGAUAACAGGCUAUUUUACAUUCCAUCUUACAGCCUCCAGGACCCCAACUGGUAUAAUAUUUUCAAAGACCUAUAAUCUUUUCAUACCUGACCAUGCAUUCCCUUAAAAAAAAAAAACAAAACAACUUUCAUAGGUUUCCCUUUCCCAUAGGUUUUAAUCCUGAGGACCAAAAGUCUCUUUCUCAGAGUAAAUGCUUGAAAUGGUAUGCAAAAUUGUAGUAGAGGUCUGUAGGUGCAUUUUUUUUUUUUUCUGGAAAAAAGACUAGAUUGCUUUCCCUAGGUUCUCAAACGGAUAUGUGUCCCCCUAAAGGCUAAAACCGUGUAGGUCUCAGGCUAAAAUGUAAGCUCCCCAGCAUGGACUUCGAAGCCCUAUGUGGACUGGCCAUCAGUCCAGCCUCCUUUCUCUCCCUUCUCUUCAUCCUCCUCACAUCCCACUUAAAUUUACCUCACAGCAGUUCUUCACUACAGGUUGCUUUGCUUGCUCAGCCCUUUCCUUUUUUCUUAGCUGACCUAACUUUUGCCCAUCUAGGAAUCUGCCUUCUUUACGAAGCACCUCAGGUCAUGGCACCUACAGAAAGCUAUUCAGGAUAAGCAAACUGGAUGUGAACUCUUGCCUCCCUGAAGCCAGUCUAGCAUUUGCUUUUUCUCUUAGCAUCUACCCCCUGGAUUUCCAAACUAGGGUGGGAGUGGGGCGGGGGGCGGGUAGGAAAAAAGAAAAUAAAUCGUAAAGUAAAACCUGUUAAGCAGUGACUGAUAAUUGUUUGUACAGCACUUAUACACAGAAGAACCCCAGGCUGUGGUACACAUUUUUAUAGUACUUUCUUGGGAGGUAAACAUGUUAUUUAUAAUCGCCAGCAGAAUUUUGAUGAUAAAGACAACACACACCUUCCUGCUACAGAAUAUCCUAUACGAAUUUUCAACAUCAUCCAGUUUUCCUUUAUGCCCAGCCACCACAUGGUGUUAUGUAUUUAACAACUCCGGCAAUUAAUAAACAACAUAGUU
rnacentral:lncRNA from 1 species